AGGCCAGGGCGGGCCCCCGCGACGCCCCGCUGCCGGAGCCAGGCCACGACGGCCCCCCGCGUCGCUGCCCAGCCUGCUUCCCUCGCGCCGCCGCCCAACCUCCUCCCCCCGAGACGCCGCCCAACCUCCGCGACUCACCCUUCCCUCCCCGGCCUCCUUCUACCUCCGCCGUCGCGCCGGCCGGCCUAGCCCCGCCGUCAUCCUCGAGAAGUGCGCCGCGUGCCCUGGAGCAGUGCACCGCGAGCCUCUCUAGCAGCUCAUCCAUGGGCGCCGGCAGUUUUUUUUGGCCUGCAGUUCGGUGCCCCCCGCGUGCAGUCCGGUGGUGCUACGCAUGUACUAGUGCUCAGGUGAGUCGCACUACAGCUCGGUUGGGUGGGCGCCAGUGUCCUCCGACGGGCAUGUGUGCAGUGCACUCCGGCGGCGGGGGGUAGCCAUCUCCUCUCACGCUUCCAGCAGCAUCGGGAGGAGGAUGGUGGAGAAAUAUUCUCCCAGCUUGCUAUCGUUGCAGGUUAGUUGGGCGUCAAUGCAGUACGCAAGCACUUGAGAGGACGAUUGGCACGCACUUCAGUUUUAGCCGUGCGACGCUGCAGUAUGGAUGCACGCGGCAGGAGGUUCGUUGCUGCAGUUUGCUUGGUGUUGGCAGGAGGUUCUCCAGCUGGCCCAUGUAGUUUACCUGGUGCAGUUCGGCCAGUUGAUGGUUGCGGUUAAAAGGAAAAUUGUGUGGAGUACACUUUCUUUGGGAUGAAAAAAUAAGUGCAAAUGUGGUUCACUAAUUAUUUUCUCAGGGUUCAGUUAACUAUAUUUUGUGUGAUGAGAGCCGCUCCAACGUUUGAUUUAGUAAACUGAACCCUGAGAAAAGUUAUAUGGACUCGUUUGAAAAUUGUUUACCAAAGAAGUUCA